rnacentral:rRNA from 1 species
UGGGGAAUAUUGGACAAUGGGCGCAAGCCUGAUCCAGCCAUGCCGCGUGAGUGAUGAAGGCCUUAGGGUUGUAAAGCUCUUUCACCGGUGAAGAUAAUGACGGUAGCCGGAGAAGAAGCCCCGGCUAACUUCGUGCCAGCAGCCGCGGUAAUACGAAGGGGGCUAGCGUUGUUCGGAUUUACUGGGCGUAAAGCGCACGUAGGCGGACCAGAAAGUUGGGGGUGAAAUCCCGGGGGCUCAACCCCGGAACUGCCUCCAAAACUAUUGGUCUAGAGUUCGAGAGAGGUGAGUGGAAUUCCAAGUGUAGAGGUGAAAUUCGUAGAUAUUUGGAGGAACACCAGUGGCGAAGGCGGCUCACUGGCUCGAUACUGACGCUGAGGUGCGAAAGUGUGGGGAGCAAACAGGAUUAGAUACCCUGGUAGUCCACACCGUAAAACGAUGAAUGCCAGUCGUCGGGUAGCAUGCUAUUCGGUGACACACCUAACGGAUUAAGCAUUCCGCCUGGGGAGUACGGUCGCAAGAUUAAAACUCAAAUGAAUUG